rnacentral:rRNA from 1 species
UACAUGUGGGGCAAGCGUUGUUCGGAAUUACUGGGCAUAAAGGGUGCGUAGGCGGCUUGUUAAGUCAGGGGUGAAAGUUUUCGGCCCAACCGGAAAAUUGCCUUUGAUACUGGCGAGCUCGAGUGCGUGAGGGGUAACCGGAACGAGCAGUGUAGCGGUGAAAUGCGUAGAUAUCAAGAGGAACACCUGAGGUGAAGACGGGUUGCUGGGCCGACACUGACGCUGAGUGCGCGAAAGCCAGGGGAGCAAACAGG